GCUGCCAUAGCUCAGUUGGUAGAGCGUCGCCUUGGUAAGGCGGAGGUCACGGGUUCAAAUCCCGUUGGUAGCU
rfam:Aerococcus viridans ATCC 11563 = CCTG 4311 strain ATCC 11563 contig00190, whole genome shotgun sequence.